rnacentral:rRNA from 1 species
AUACAGAGGGUGCAAGCGUUAUUCGGAAUUACUGGGCGUAAAGCGCGCGUAGGCGGAUGAUUAAGUCAGUUGUGAAAGCCCUGGGCUCAACCUAGGAACUGCAUCUGAUACUGGUCAUCUAGAGUUUAAGAGAGGGAAGUGGAAUUCCAGGUGUAGCAGUGAAAUGCGUAGAUAUCUGGAGGAACAUCAGUGGCGAAGGCGACUUCCUGGCUUAGAACUGACGCUGAGGUGCGAAAGCGCGGGUAGCGAACGGGAUUAGAAACCCUAGUAGUCC